rnacentral:rRNA from 1 species
AGAAUGAGAGCUUCGGCAGGAUUUUUAUCUAUCUUAGUGGCGGACGGGUGAGUAACGUGUGGGCAACCUGCCCUGUACUGGGGAAUAAUCAUUGGAAACGAUGACUAAUACCGCAUGUGGUCCUCGGAAGGCAUCUUCUGAGGAAGAAAGGAUUUAUUCGGUACAGGAUGGGCCCGCAUCUGAUUAGCUAGUUGGUGAGAUAACAGCCCACCAAGGCGACGAUCAGUAGCCGACCUGAGAGGGUGAUCGGCCACAUUGGGACUGAGACACGGCCCAAACUCCUACGGGAGGCAGCAGUGGGGAAUAUUGCACAAUGGGCGAAAGCCUGAUGCAGCAACGCCGCGUGAAGGAUGAAGGGUUUCGGCUCGUAAACUUCUAUCAAUAGGGAAGAAACAAAUGACGGUACCUAAAUAAGAAGCCCCGGCUAACUACGUGCCAGCAGCCGCGGUAAUACGUAGGGGGCAAGCGUUAUCCGGAAUUACUGGGUGUAAAGGGA